CUAAGGGGAAAACUCAUAUUUAAUUCUACAGCAGAAAUCUUUGUGGACAUAGCAACCACCCUUCUCUCAGAAGGUUCAGAACAGCACCUGGGAGGUUGGAGUUCAGAUGAAAUUCAGAACACCUCACAGGUGCAGUAGCACAGGUUGCAGGUCGAAAGAUGAGCUGUGGGCCACAGGUACAUUCAGGACGCUUCUCGGGGAAUUUCUUUGGGGUUGGUUUAGGCAGAUGCUGAUGGUUCAGAACUCUCCACCUGUCCAUCCAUGAGCAUCAUUACUUUUUUAAUUGUUAAAUUAUUUGCUCCAUUGUUGGUAGUAUGAAAUGAUCAUAUUUCAUCAAUUCUGAUGCCUAAAUUUUUUCAUAUUUUAACAUUUAUGAAACCGGCUAAAAC
rnacentral:lncRNA from 10 species